GAUGAACGCUGGCGGCGUGCUUAACACAUGCAAGUCGAACGAACCUUCGGGUUAGUGGCGGACGGGUGAGUAACGCGUGGGAAUCUGCCCUCAGGAGGGGGAGUAACGGCUGGAAACGGCCGCUAAUACCCACUAUGCCGAGAGGUGAAAUGAAUUUCGCCUGAGGAUGAGCCCGCGUCUGAUUAGCUAGUUGGUGAGGUAAGAGCUCACCAAGGCAUCGAUCAGUAGCUGGUCUGAGAGGAUGAUCAGCCACACUGGGACUGAGACACGGCCCAGACUCCUACGGGAGGCAGCAGUGGGGAAUUUUCCGCAAUGGGCGAAAGCCUGACGGAGCAACGCCGCGUGAGGGAUGAAGGCCUCUGGGCUGUAAACCUCUUUCUCAAGGAAGAAGAUCUG
rnacentral:rRNA from 1 species